ensembl:lncRNA
CGAGUUGGUUCUCAAAAGUUUAUUUCUCACUGUUGGAGGUGACUGCAGGGUGGCUGCGGCUCUGCUCUGUGUGUCUUCUUCAUUCCAAGAUCCGAGCUGAAGGGACAUGCUGUUCUUACGGCAGAGGGGGAAAAAAGACAAUGCUGAAAUUUGCAAUGGCUCUUAACGUUUCUGCUUGAACUUGGUCUAAAUCACUCCCACUUAGGACCCGCUGGCCAGAGCAAGUCACAUGCCCAAGUCUGACGGUGCUAAUCUGGGGAAGUACACUUCUUCUCCAGGAAAACAAUGCAAGUCGUAGGGCAAAGGUUAGGAAUGUGGAAUUCUCUUACUAGGAGGAGGAAUGAAGAACUAUGUAUAUGUACAUACACAAUAAUGCAACUCAGGACACUGCUCGUGUAUGAGCCGGCUCCGCCUGCCGAAAGAGCACAGCUGGAGGAGUGUCCAGCUCUCCCCCAACCUGAGUCGCAGCAGGUGCUGGUCUCCUGAAGGGAAGCAGCUGAGGCUCUCUGGGGAAAAUGCUGGCCUCAUGGGAGAAGAAGAUCUGGAAGAGAACCCAGCAUGGAACAUGACAGGACACUCACUUCAUGUUCCGGGCCCCUCUAGAGUGUCUUCCACUUGCCCGUGACCUUCCUACAGGAAUCUGUGGGAGUUGGCACCCAGCUGCAAUGCUGUGCCCUGUGAGCCCACUCCUCGGCCAUGUUUGACUGGGCCAAGGGACGGCCCCUAACCCACGCUGGUCCAACCAGGUCCUACCUGUGCUAAUGUGCAAUCCAGAGAGAGGGAGGCAGAAGGGCAGUCUCUCCUAUGGUUGGCAUGAUAACAUGUGAACCUGGAAGCUGUGGGAGGCUGCCAUUCCUCCAACUGUUUGCACUGAGCAGCUGAGAAAGUCAGUCUUCAGAGAAAAAAGACAGAGGCAGCCCAGCAGCCAAGUCGAGACAAGGGGAGAGAAGGAGAAGCAACACUCCCCGAGCCCUGUGCUGCCUCCCUCUCCGGGCUCUUGUCAUUUCUGGGACCCUGCCCAGUGCUCACACGUGAGCUUGGGUUCCCCGAAUGACCCCUGCAUCUUACGACGACUUUCUCUCUUUAGGUGAAGUGAGAUUCAGUUCGUUUCUGUUGCUUGCAACCAAAGAACUUUGAGCAUUUCAGACUCGCCGUUCUGAGCCUUAGUUUGAUCAGCUGAAAAAUCAAGGUAGCGAUGCUGAGUCACAGGAUUGCUGAAAGAAUCAAAUGGACAUAAAAAUGCGAUAAAAUGGGAAAUAUUAUUACAGGAGAGAGACACCACGGAAGGAGCAAAAUGGCUUAGAAGUUUUGCUCUGAAUUUUUGAAAAAUUGGUUAACUAAUAAGAAAAUGGUAGAAGCCAACAAGAAAUAAUCAGAAUAUGUCAGACACUGUUCUAAGUAUUUUACACAUAUGAACUCCUUCAAUUUUCACAACAGCCUUAUUUUGUACAGGUUCCGCCAUUUUGCAGAUGAGGAAAGUAAGACAUAGGAGAAGUCUUAAAAACUAGCCAAGGUCACAUAUACUGGGCGACAAAGUAACGCUCUUGGCUUUCAUAUUUGUUUCCUCAUCCAUAAAACGGCACAAAUGUAGGUACCCCAGGGUGGUAUUUUUAAAAUUAAUUAAAAAGUCUUCACAAUGCAUAUGACACAGUAAAAACUAACUUUUAAAUUGCUUUCACCUCACACCUAUCAUGAAAAUGGCUAUUAUCAAAAGGACAAAAGAAAAUAAUAAAUGCUAGCAUGGAUGUGGAGCUGUGCACUGCUGGGGGAAUGUAAACUGGCGCGGCCAUUAUGGAAAGCAGUAUGGAGCUUCCUCAAAAACUGAAAAAAAGGAACUACUAUGUCAUCCAGCAAUUCUACUUCUGGGUAUUUAUCCAAAGAAAAUGAAAGCAUUAACUCAAAAAGAUACAUGCGCCCAUGUUCACUGCAGCAUUAUUUACAAUAGCUGAGAUAUGGAGAUGACCUAAGUGUCUACCAAUGGGCGAAUGGAUAAAGAACAUGUUUUGUAUAUAUAUAUUUUACAUAUAUAUACAUAUAUAUAUAAUUGUGUUACGUAUAUAUAUAGUGGAACAUCGUUCAGCCAUAAAAAAGAAUGAGGUCUUGCCAUUUGUGACAAUAUGGAUGGACCUUGUGGAUAUUAUGCUAAGUGAAAUAAGUCAGACAGAGAAAGACAAAUACCAUGUGAUCUCAGUUAGAUGUGGAAUCUAAAAACAAACAAACAAAAACCAAGCUCAUAGAUACAGAGAAGAGACUGGUGAUUACCAGAAGAUGGGGGUGGGUGAAAUGGGUGGAGGAAAUCAAAAGGUACAAAAUUCCAGUUACAAAAUACCCUCGUCAUGGGUAUGUAACGCACAGUUUGGCAACUAUGGCUAAUAAUGCUAUAUUGCAUAUUUGAAAGUUGCUAAGGGAGCGGAUUUUAAAAGUUCUCAUCACACAAAAAAAAUUCUGUAACUAUGUAUGGUGAUAUUAACUGGACUUAUUGGGGUGAUCAUUUUGCAAUAUAUAUAAAUAUCGAAUCAUGGUAUUGCACACUUGAAACUAAUAUAAUAUUGUUUGUCAAAUAUACCUUAAUAAAAAUAUCUCUUUCAUUAGAAUACUCAUCAUAAAUCUGUUUCCUAAUUGCACUGCAAGUGAAGAAAAUAAGACAUGGACCUAUGAAGAGGGAAAUUUCAAAUAAAUAAAUUCUGUUUACACAGCAAAAGAUGGGCUUAUCAAACUCAUGGGAAGUAAGCUUAAAAAUCUGUAGCACUUAUAAUGCCACUUGGCCUAAGGCAGCCUCAGACAAGCAGUUGUCAAGCCCUCGCUUAGUGGGAGGAUGGAGAUACCCAUACUCUUCAGUGCCUCUUGACAGCGUAAACUUUUUUAGCUUCUCCGCUCUGAGAACGGCAUGUCUCAAUUGGCUAUGAAGAGUGAGAAGGCAAGGAAACUGAGAAGGGUGGUGUGGUGCUGUAUCUUGGGGUUCUGCAGGCAUCAUCUCAUGUUACAGAUAGAAAAUGGGAGCUCCAGGAGGUAAAGAACAUGGCUUCAGCCCAACAAGCAGGAGUUGGAGGGUUGGAUUGCAACACGAGUCUCUCUGACCCCAAAGUCUCAGCUUUCUUCCCCGCACCUGGAGAUGCCUCAUCACGUCGGAUGCCCAUCGCUGCUUCACACGUUACCCAAAGCCAAUAAUGUGAAACAGCAAUAAGCCUUUAUUAUCACCCGGCUUCUGCAGCUCAGGAAUUCAAGAGUGGCUCAGCUGAGUGGUUCUGGCUUGGGGUUUCUCAUGAGGUUACGGUCAAGGUAUCAGCCGGGUCUCCAGUUAUCUACAGGUUUGACUUGGGAAGGAGGAUCCACUUCUAAUCGCCAUGGCUGGUAAUUUGGUUGUAGGAAGGAAGUCUCAGUUCCUCUCCAUGUAGGCCUCUCCAUAGGCUGGUUGAGUGUCCUCACAGCAUGGUGGCUGACUUCUCCCAGAGCAAGCAAUCCAAGAGAGAGGAGUGCCAAGGAAGCUAUCCUUUUUAUGACCUCCUCUCAGAAGUACAUAGAAGCACUUCACCAGGCUCAUUAAUUAGAAUAGGACUGACCUACAUUCGAGGGAGGGAAACGAGGCUUCGCCUUCUGAAGGGAGGAGGAUUAUGGAUGUAUUUCAAGACCACCGCACUUAGCAACAUGAGAAAGAAUUUACAGCUCUGGUGUGACUUGCCUACCUUCUGCUUAAAAUGAAUCAGAGGGCUUCCAGCACCUCUCAGGUUAAAGAUCACAGUCCUCACUGUGACCAGCAAGGCCAUGCACGCCCUACAGCUCUGCGUGUCCCCAGCCUCAAGCCAGGUCUUCCCCGUUUUAGCCACAUACCUGGACUGCUUCCAUUUCCUCACACUCCCUCUACCUGAAGGCCUCUGCAGAGAUGCUCUCUCGGCCCUCUGUGCCUUCCCAUAACCUCCUCUUGCCUUGCUAACGUUCGUUCCCUUAGCCUUCAGAUCCUGGUUCAAAGGUCGCCUCUUCACCAAACCAUCCCUGAUGUCCCAGACCAGAUCAGGUCCACUCAGAGGCUUUUAUGAACCUUUGAAUUCUUGAAUGAUACUUUUUCAUUUGCAAUUAUGUAUGGGUGUGAUCAGUGAGCUAUGUCUGUCUUCCCCACUAAUGUUCAGUCCAUAUUGAGAUGGCGCCUGUUUUUAUGUUCACCAUUGUAUCCCUAGUACGUUGCUCGGUGCCGAGCACACAGUGGGCACUCAGGGACAAAUGCAUUGAAUGAAGGAGCGCCCAGACAAUGCCCUUCUCGGAGCUGGAGGUGCAGGGCUGGGGGAGCACCUCUUUGUAAGUGUGCCUCAGUGCAGGUUCUGGCAUCAAGUCAGGGUUGACUUGGUGACUUUUAAGUUUCCUUUCCAUCAGGAGAGUCUGAGAUUCUGUGAGUCUGUGAUUCCAGGCAAGCAAACUGCCUCCUUAAGCAGCUUGCCGAUGGCCCAGGUCUUCUGGCUCCCAGGACACACCCUUUUAAGGGGCAGCCUGGUACAAACAUCAAGCACAAGGAAAGUCUAUGCUGGAAACUUCUGGGAGUUUCCAGCUGCCUGGGGCUUUAAGGGGCUCAAACGAUCGGGCCCUCCGUGGCUCCUUUAAGAAGUUUUACAAGGUUAAGUUUUGCUCUAAAAAUAAGCCCACAAGGCUUUUUGAAAAGUUUCAAAAACCAUAUGUCCAGCUGAGCCGUUUUUUGAAGGGCCAGUGAGCCUUUAAAAGCUUCAAAACCGCUCCUUGGCCUGCCCCCCACUGUGGAGAAAGCUCAACACGUGGAGCUUAGACCCGCUUCUAAGUCUUCUAGAAUCUACACUUGGAACAUUCUGCUUCCAUCAAAGGGGUUCAAGACGGAGAUGAGGGGCCGGCCAGGUGGCGCAGCGGUUAAGUCCGCACUUUCCACUUAGCCGCACGGGGUUCGCUGGUUCGGAUCCCGGGUGCGGACGUGGCACCGCUUGGCACGCCAUGCUGUGGCAGGCAUCCCACGUAUAAAGUAGAGGAAGAUGGGCACAAUGUUAGCUCAGGGCCAGGCUUCCUCAGCAAAAAAGAGGAGGACUGGCAGUAGUUAGCUGAGAGCUAAUCUUCCUCAAAAAAAAAAAAGACAGAGAUGAGUGCGUACGAACCCAAGGCCAGUUCUCUCCACAGCAAACAACCGCCCAAAUCACCAGGACACUGCAGCAAGUUGCCUACAGAGAGACCAGCUCAGCCUUCCCUGCUCCCCCUCCUCUCUCGUAGGUCUCUUCGCACUGCGCGCUGUGGGUUGUUCUUCCAGCGGGAAGGCCCGUGUGUAGCCCGGCCCCCGCAGGCCCAGGAGAUGCCCCAGAGACAGAGCCCCUCGGAUAUCUGGCAGCUAAUGAGGAAGUACAUUCAUUUACUAAAUUGUUCUCGCUCUCUCAUUUCUUUUCCUUUCGUCUUUUUGAAUAAAUAUUUAAGCCCUUAUUAUGUGCUGCAUAUCGAAUAUCCGUCUUUCAGGUGGGAAGGCAGGGGCAGAGGUUAGUGGAGAGCAGCAGAAAGGACAUCUUGACGAAUCAGAAAUGCAUUCUCCCCAAAGACGUUUUACAGUUUGUAGGGGAUUAAAGAGGAGUCCAGGCUACGAUACACCAGAUUUCAGGCUCCUUGAAUCCUUCAAGCUUCAGGAAGGAAUCCCUUAUUGACUCCUUUACAUAAAUGAGACUGAGACCAGAGAGGGUAGGAGAAUUGCUCACCAUCUGACAGGGCUUCAGCCACCCCACACGUGUCUUGCUGCUUCUCUAACAGAAUAAGCCAUAAACGGCUAUGAUGCCGGGGCACGGGGCUCCGGAGCAGUGUCAGUGUAACGUGAUACGAGAGUGCAGAAGAAAGAGAGGUCCCUUCCAGCUAAGAGGAUCAGAGAAGGUCCCGAUGUUGCUCCUUGCAGCCACAGUAAAGGGCAUUCUCUUUUCCCCAAACGAAGGAGCUCGACCUCAGUCUCUUUUCUGUGUAAGUGAAACACUUCCAGCUUCUGCACCAACGUCGAAGGCUAAACCCAAGAGAGGAGUGCCGCUGACUGCCGCUCGGAGCCACAGCAUCGCAGCGAGGGAAGGACCUACUCCUCCUCCUGUGACAUCCCGACAGGUGCUCACCCAGCUUGUGCUCACACAUCCUCAGUGGCAGGAAGCUCACUACCUCAUAAGGUAAGUGGACAGUUCAGAUUAUUGCUGAAAGCUGUUCUUCCUGUCAAACCACAGUCAGUCUCCCUCUGGCUUCAGCAUGCACCAGAAUCUUCUGGAGGCUUGUUAAAGCCCAGAGGGCUGGGCCCACCCCCAAAGUUUCUGAUUCAGUGGGUCUGGGGUGGGGCCCGAGAAUUUGCAUUUCUGACACGUUCCCAGGUGAGGCUACUGCUGCUUGUCCGGGGACCACACUUUGAGAGCCACUGUCAUAGGCUUAGGGGCGGUGUGUAACAAGUUAACAAUGACUUUCCAAAGCACUGAGCACAUGUAUUCUAUGUGUCACCUCAGCUGGUCCUCCCCACAGUCCCCAAGGCAACCCUUUAGUCACUUCCUCCUAACACUAGAGGUUGGUAGCCUGCCCUUUAUGACACUGUCAGUGGCAGAGCUGGGCUUGAAAUCCAGGUCUGAUCACCCUAAAGUCUAUGCUCUUAAUGCCCCCUUAGCAAAUGAGUAAACUGAGGCACAGAGAAGUUAAAUCUUGCCUAGGCCACAAAUAUAAAAGGCAUUUGAAUUAGUUUUCAAAUCCAGAUCUUUCUGACCCCAAAGUCCAAGCCUUAACCCAAGCUUCUGUGCGAGGCAGGGUGUGCUGAGGGUCGUAUCCACUCCAGCGUGGAGCCCGGGACCUCCUCCCUGGGGCGGGAUUUUCAUUUGUCCUUCCCUUUUUGCUUGACUUCUCUGGGUAAUUGCCUCCUUUCUCCAGGCACUCGAUGGGGCAGACGCCUUCUUCCUGGGGAUCGAAUGACCACAGAAGGAAAAUAACUUAGAACAGGCAGCUCUUCAUUCUUCCUCAGCUGGUGUUUUUCCUCCAGAGCCUGGAAAGAAAUGUGGCCCAUGCACACCUUAAAUUGGACCAUCAAUUACUCGUGUCUUGAAUAUGCAGAGCUCAUUAGGGCUGUGUUGGCCACAGGAGAGUACCUGAGCUGAGAACAGUAAACUUGCCUCAGCCCUUUCAAUGCAGGCUGCCCCUCCACAGCGGAGCCGGCCUGGGGUUGCCAGGCACUAAUGUGACCAAUUAUUUCUGUCCUCAGUUACUAGGUCAUAAAUCCCGCCCUGGCACGGAGUCCUGGUUUCUGGUGGGAGAAGGUUCGCUUUUAGGAAUGACUCUAACUCCUGGCUGUGGAGUGGUGUGAUGUUGUGGUUAGGACCCUUGCACUCCAAGCCCGAGUGUUGCCGGGACCUCAUUAUGGCCUGUCAACAUCCAGCCGUGUGUGACAGUCACGUCCCCAUUCUGCUCCUCAGCCAUAAAGCGGGCGCAGGACCUCCCCAGGUUGCUCAAUGACGCGAGUUUGAGAGAAGAGGUCAGGCAUGUAGAAGAGGUCCUGAGGGCAUUUGUGUGAAGUCCCUGAUGCGGUUGCCUUCGAGGCCGGUGCAGAGUGAACUAGGCUUUGUCCCGCUCCGAGGCCUUUGCACUUACUCUCGCCUGUCCAGGAUAUUCUUCCUUCAGCCCUUUGCAUCCUGGGUUAUUCUCAUUCUUCAAUUAUCUCCUCAAACCUCGCCUCUUCAAAGGAGCUCUCCUGAGCCCCUCUCUAAAGUGCCCCCUGCUCUCUGAGCCCCAGUUACUCUCGGAAGCAUCGCCCUCCUUCCAGCCUCUUCAGCACAAAGCACAACCUACACUUAGCGUGUGCCUAUCUGUGACAGCCCGAUUGUUACCCAAUGACUGCACGUGCUGCCGGUUUGCAGUCUGUGCGUGACGUUCUGAAUGAGUACCGGCCUGGCCCCUCUGUGAACCCCACGCCCCCAAGCUUGCAAAAGCUGGCUCUUUAAAAACUGUCUUGCAACUGCUCAUGUGAGCGGCUCAGGUGUUCCAAACUGAACAACCAAAGAAAAGUGCAGAAGUGAAUUGAGUGCUGGAGAUGACACCUGAUUUGAAAUGUUCAUAUGCGUUCACUUUCAUUGUUUUUACUGAUGGUCAUUAAGUGUUAUAAAUUUGAUACAUUAUUUUAAAAAGGCAAGGAAAACAAAAUGGAAAAAGCCGAUCCCGCUUUGAAGGAACUCAGUUAAAGGGAGAGAUACAGAGGACAGCAGACACCUGUGCGACCAUCGCUGAGUCUGCGCACAGAGGGAAUGAAAGUGCAAGGAGGCCUGCGAGGAGAAGGCGGGAGAGCCAGCCCCAGCGAGGGCGGGGCCGAGAGCUGGAGCAGCGGCUCAGGGCUGGGGAAGUGGAGGCUGAAUGCCAGUGGAAAGGAGUGAGAGGACUCACAAAGGCCUCCCGUGGCUGUGGGGUACAGCUGUGCACUUAUUUGUCUGUCUAUAUGACUGUAGUCUGAAUCCCAGAUUCCAAGUCACCCGUAGUGAACACAGUGCCUCCCCAGAGUCAGUGCUCAAUUAUCAUUUGCUGAUGAGCUUUGAAUAAAGGGCCGAGUUCUCGGGGCUCAGGGCACAGGCGCCGUGGAGGUGGCGGGUGGCAGAGGCGUCUGCAAAGUUGGGGACGGGGCUGAGAAAGCUGGGGAGAGACGAAGAGAGCUUGCACUUUGAUGAAUGUGUAGAUAUUUCAGAGAAGCUUGGACCAGCAAUUUGGCCAAAAUAGCACCAAAAUGUGGGAAGCGUAAUCCUAGCUUUAUGCGCCAUAACUAAAUAUCAUUAAAAUCUGGUAGAUAAUUAAUACCCAAUAAAGGAAAGUUACAGUAAUUAUUUUAUAAUUUACCCCAAAUCUUAUUAUAUGUAGCAGUAUCUAGGGUCAGUUGUCUACCUCAACUUGAUGGUUUUGCUAAAUAAAUGACUAAACAAACAAAAAAGAUCCUUUAGUAAUAAAGGUUAAAAUGCAAGACUUGAAAUAAAGUAGAUUUAAUUUCUGAAUAUAGCUUUGCCACAUUCUGUGACCUUAGACAAUUAACCUAACCUCUCUGAACUUUAGGCAUCCUUUCCAUAAAAUGGAGCUAAAAUGACAAAUUUCACUGUGAAUUAAAUGAUGUGUGUUUCAGUUACCUAUUGCUGCCUACCCGACCUCCUCUAAAGUUAGUACCUUGAAACAGCAACUUCCUGAGUCUCUGGGCUCCGCCAGGCAGUUCUGCCGUGUGGCUGUGGGCAGAGCCCGCCCGGCUGGGGCUGGAGUCCUCUGAAGGUUCAGUUGCACUGGAUGUCCGAGAGGGUGCCCUCCUAGAGCUGGCAGUUGACGUUGGCCGGGAGCUCAUCGGGGCCUGUCGAUUGGAACACCUAAAAUGGCCUUUCCAAGGGGCAUGGAAUUCUCAUAGCCCUGGGGCUGGUUUCCAAGAGGGAGCAUCCUAAGAGCCAGCGUUACAGAAGACCUGGGCACAAAUUGCUUCUUGUGGCCUUGCCCCGGCAGUUCCAGAUCAUCAUUUCUGCUGUGUUCUGUUGGCCAAAGCAAAAGCAGAGUUUGCAACACAUUUUCAUUUCCAAAGGAUACAAUAGUGGAGGGGUGCCUGGGCAAGGAGCUCUCAGGCCUGGGAGAAACCAGCUUGUUUGCGGUGUUUCUGUGCGCCGUCACCGGCAGUCAGAAGGCUCAGGUGAGAAACUGAGGCUCCAGGAUGUGACAGAUCAGCAUUUCCCUGUUCAGGCAGAUAAGGAAUCAGUUUUCACAGGAAAAAAUUUGAAGACAUCACCAAAGCCUCAUGUGGUUAAAAACAGAAACGAGGGAGCUGAAGACACGAGCUACCUGGCUGAAGGUUGGCGAUGGGUGGAGGGCAGAGGAGAAGCAGGGCUUUCCACCUCCUGCCUGCUCGCAGCGGUCUGCAAAGCUCCUGAGUGAGGCUAGGUAGUUUCCAUUCGCCCCUGCAAAUCCACUUUCCACCUGGGUCUCUGUGGGCCCGGGAGCCUGGUCUUUGUGGACCCCAUCAACCCUGCGGCUUCUACUUGGGUUCGGCCAACGGGAAGCACCCUCCAGAGAUGCGAGGGCAAAAGAGCGGUCAGGGUCUUUGUUCCCUGCUCCCUCCUUCGAGGCCACAGGUUGGCAGUGGGUGUUCCUCCACCAAAGGUCUCAAUUCUCAUCAGACAGCUUUCUGCUUAAGCCACAGCACAGCUCUGGCUCUCUCUAAGGACACUGUUACCAGUCCCUACCAUCCCCUGUUUGUGUCCCUUAACUCCAUUUGCACCUUUGUUAAUAGUCCCUUCAUUAAACUCGUCUCAACACCCCACUGGAGCGAGCCAUUUGUUUCCUGUUUGGACCCAGAGUAAUUCAGUACUAGAACCGUAGGUCAGGAAGGCAUGGCAAAAGUCUUCUGCUCCUGCAGUUUUCAAAUUUUUACUUUUACCUGAAGAGAUCCAGUAAGAAUCAUGAUUGUAAAAGUAAUGAAGUUCGAGAAGCCCGUGGAACCCUGCCUGCUCAGCCUGCCACCCAAAGCACUCCUCCUCUCUGCCUCCCCCAGCUGCUCCAUGAAUCCCAGGGCUGUGGGGAGCGCCCUCCCAAGCCUGCUGACCUGGUGCAAACCCCUCGCUCCCGCGGGAGAGCGGCAGGGGGCCAGGUCUCUACAGCGGCCGUUGUGGCCUGAGCAGGUCUGAUUUAUGCGCUGGGCCUUCAUCAACAGUCUGCCUCAAUCUCUUCCCAAGUGCAAAGCCCCGUAAAUCUUCGCCAGCCCAUGUUAUACAAACACGCAAAAAUAUCAUUAGGGAAACAAACAGCCCCACUGGCCUUGGCAGAGGCCUUUUCUGCCAGGCUCAAGUUACCUAAAAUCAAUAUUUGAACAAGGACAAAACCACAUGUUUCCAAAACCAAAUUAGAGGGUCUAACGGGAGGCCUGGGACGUGGUUACAUCACGCGCGCUCCUGCUGCCCCCCGCGCUGUUGGCGGGCCCCCACCCCUUGCAGUCCCUGGCCUUGCUUGCCCUGAGUGUCUGAACCCAUGAGACAGGUGACACCGAGGGACAGAAUAAGUGAGAAGUAGGAUCUUCUGCAGAGCUGGGGCUGGGACCCAAGUUUACCAGACAGGGGGAGUGGCUGUGUCCCGUCCUGCAGCCCCUAAGCCCUGGCUCCACAUCCGUAGUGGGCUCUGGGCUAAGGUCUGAGGGUCCGAGAGUGAGCCAAAUCGCAAGUGUCUGCUCUCAGGGAGCCCACACUACAGUGUGGAAGGAAGAGGAGACAGGAGGUCACUUCAGCGCAGAAGGACAAGCACAAGCCAUGUGGGUGAGUUCCGGGAGCUUUGCAGGCACACAGCAGGGUCGGUAACCCAGGGGUGAGGGGGCCUUUGGGGGACAGCUUCCAGCAGCAGAUGUGUAAAAGGUGCUCUGUCUAACCAGCUACUCCGGCUUUGUGUGUGCCUGGCCCAGGAAGGGAAGGGGGCCGAUGGGAGAAGAGGACCCCCAUGCCUCCCAGAAGGGAGGGGUGAGCAAGGAAGAACUCCAUUCUCCCCCAACACGAGCCUGAGCUGGCGGAGAGCUGGGGAGCAGGCGCGGAGCCUCGGCCUUUCCGGGCCUCUCUUUUUGGAACCAGCCCAGCCCAUCUGCAGCCCCUCUGCCCUCCCCUAUUCUCUGCUUGAGCGCAGGGGAAAAAUGGGCAGCGCUUCUGAGCCAGCUGUGUGGGAAAGUCCUCCUCCGAGGGCAGCAGUAAGGCCUUUGGCCUGCACCUCUGAAGCCACGUUCUUUCAGCAAAAAAGCCAGCACUUUGCUCUCCAACCGCCCCUUGAGCCCUCUGUCUCUACCGAGACGGGAGUCCUAGUCGUUGACUCCUCCCAAACAAAUACCGUGUGAUCCGGCUCCUGGGUGCUGCGAGUUGAAACUGUAGGAUACAAGGUUGUAUUUUUUUUAUACUGUGUUUAGAAAAAUAAAUAAAAUAAAAUAUGCCACUGUAUAAACAAUGGUUGUAUUUAUGUGUGGUGGUGAUACAAUUUUCCUCUUUUUUUUAAAGAUAUUUUCCAAUUUAUAAAAAAUGAGUAUAUGUUAUUUUUAAUCUGGGGGGGAAAGCAGCAGGUAAAUGCAAUGAAAUGGCCUUUCAAAUGUGAUAAAAAUGUAAGAAAAAUGUAAGAGAAAGUCAUAAAUCCUGAGAAAGACCUUGGGCCAGCAGGAGGAAGCAGUUAGAGGCAGUCGCCUGGUCACGACUGCAGGCAGGGCACAGCCCCGUUCCCUCUUACCUUCUUAACAACUUUGUGUCCAGCUGAGGUGCUGGAGUCAUCAGCCGCCUUA